GCACAAACAUUCAGACCAUCGCAAACACGUAUUUUGAUCCUUAUGAGCAUAUUUUUAUUGCAGUGAUAUUGGAUAUCUAGUCACCGUGGACUUGGGUUCUACUGCUCUAUAGCACCAUGAAAUGGAAAACCAGCUUUCCUGGCUAUUAUGGGUUGAAUUGUGUCCCCCCCAAAAGACAUAUCAAAGUUCUAAACCCCAUCAUCCCAAAAUAUGACAUUAUUUGGAAGUAGGGUCAUUACAGAGAUAAUCAAAUUAAAGUGGGGUCAUUAGGGUGGGUCCUAAUCCAGUCAGAUUGGUGUCCUUAUAAAAACGGGAACUUUGGACGCAGACACAGACAAGUGCAGAAGGAAGACUGUGAAACGGCCACAUGACGACGGAGGCAGAGAUUGGACUGACCAGCUGCAAACCAAGGAUCAUGUGGCCCUGGUGGUCACUCCCAGAGUCUGGAGGAGGCAGGAAGGAUUCCACCUCGAGUCCCAGAGGGAGCACCGCCGUGCCCGCACCUGGCUGUUGGACUUCUAGCCUCCACAACUGGGAAGGCAGGGAGCUUCCGUGCAAAGUCAAGUGCAGAAGGGAGAGACAGUGACCGGGAGGAUCAAUGCCGACCGUCUUGUAUCCUUACAACGUAACUGAGGAGGAAAGGUGAAGAUCCCUGCUUGAA
rnacentral:lncRNA from 1 species